rnacentral:rRNA from 1 species
GACGAACGCUGGCGGCGUGCUUAACACAUGCAAGUCGAACGGUAAGGCCCUUCGGGGUACACGAGUGGCGAACGGGUGAGUAACACGUGGGUGAUCUGCCCUGCACUUCGGGAUAAGCCUGGGAAACUGGGUCUAAUACCGGAUAGGACUCCUGGCUUCAUGGUUGGGGUGUAAAGCUUUUGCGGUGUGGGAUGGGCCCGCGGCCUAUCAGCUUGUUGGUGGGGUAAUGGCCUACCAAGGCGACGACGGGUAGCCGGCCUGAGAGGGUGACCGGCCACACUGGGACUGAGAUACGGCCCAGACUCCUACGGGAGGCAGCAGUGGGGAAUAUUGCACAAUGGGCGCAAGCCUGAUGCAGCGACGCCGCGUGAGGGAUGACGGCC